GACGAACGCUGGCGGCGUGCUUAACACAUGCAAGUCGAACGAAGAGCGAUGGAAGCUUGCUUCUAUCAAUCUUAGUGGCCAACGGGUGAGUAACGCGUAAUCAACCUGCCCUUCAGAGGGGGACAACAGUUGGAAACGACUGCUAAUACCGCAUACGAUCUAAUCUCGGCAUCGAGGAUAGAUGAAAGGUGGCCUCUACAUGUAAGCUAUCACUGAAGGAGGGGAUUGCGUCUGAUUAGCUAGUUGGAGGGGUAACGGCCCACCAAGGCGAUGAUCAGUAGCCGGUCUGAGAGGAUGAACGGCCACAUUGGGACUGAGACACGGCCCAGACUCCUACGGGAGGCAGCAGUGGGGAAUCUUCCGCAAUGGACGAAAGUCUGACGGAGCAACGCCGCGUGAGCGAUGACGGCCUUCGGGUUGUAAAGCUCUGUUAAUCGGGACGAAAGGCCUUCUUGCGAAUAGUGAGAAGGAUUGACGGUACCGGAAUAGAAAGCCACGGCUAACUACGUG
rnacentral:rRNA from 1 species